ensembl:lncRNA
GACUUUAUUCUUCAUCAAAAACUGAUUCUAGGGUUUUGGGUCAUACUGGCUGUCAGUCCUGUCACAAAGAGACGUUUGAGCACUAUUUGGCUUUCAAGUUAGUGCUCAAAGUAUUUUAACCUGAAUUCAGUUAAUCAAACAGUGUCGAUUGACAUAGCGGGUGGAAAACACAACAGUCAUGGUCAAACAUUUUUGCGGAUUGUCUGACUGAUGAUGUGCUUUGCUGUGUGGCACAAACCAUCCAACAAGUUUGUCCUUCAGACUUGGUGAGUGAGAUUCUAGUAUUUUAUUAGUUUUAACCAUCUUAUAUGUGUAUCCUAACCAAGCUUAGCAUCAAAAUGCUAACAUUGAAGAUAGCUAAGCAUAAACAAUCCCUGGACAAACCAGUCCUUAGGACAUAUUUACUUUAUUAAUAUAUAUGUUUUUGAAAAAGUUGAAAGUGAAAAAUUGGAGAGAAAAUAAAGAAAGACAUACUGUAGCAAUACAAUAAUGUGUGUCUCUAUACAGCCAUUUUAGUUAGCACUGAUGUCAGAAGCAGUGUCAUCACUUUAUCCUUUUGACGAUCACAAACAUGUUCAGUUUGCUACUCGGUUAUUUAGAAGUUAUUGUGCGUAUUUACUGUUUUGGUGUACAUGCUAACUUCUAACCUCUACAAGGCAAAACUACUAUUGGGUCAAAGGUUGCUGCAUCCUCAGUAUGAUGAAUCAAGAGGCCAGAAAUCACAAGUUGGUUUUUAUACCAAGUAUUUCAUACUUUUUAUUUCCAUUUAUAAGUAUUCAUUUCAAGUCGACAAUUUACAUCACAGCCCAUUGGCUCUCUGGAAUUGUCAGUAUAAUGUAUAUCAGCCAUAGGGACGAGGGGAAUAGCGGGUAAGACUGCGGGACCCAGAAAAGCCUAAAACAUGAGGAGGAGGACAGGGGGGGAGGAAACUGUGGUUUCUGCCACCAGAUCCCAAACUCGGCCCAAAUCAACACAGUGUUUGCCUCUCUGUGAUGAUCAUCAUCAUCAUCUUCAUCAUUCAAGUUGUUGUCAUCAGUCCAGUGCUGUUGUGCAGAAGGAAAAUGCUGGAGGGCGACUCCUCAUGAUGUCCCUUCAGCUGCACUCUUCACACAAGCAGCGAAGGCCUCCAUCAGAUCUUUGCAGCCCUCGGCUCCCUUCUCUGCCACACUGGAGGAAAGAUUAACGACAGUUAGAACUCGAUCAAGUAAACCCACGUACCGGAGUUAAGCAUCACGGUGCCGGUUUUAUCAGCAUCAGCUGAAUCAACUGGAUCCCAAUCCAAGGACUUCUGUUGCCAAAACACAUGCAUGUUUGGUGUGCUAACAUUGGUAGAAGCGAAAACAGGAGCAACAGCUCUCAACAAGAGAGAAAAGAUGAAGAAUGGGAAGAAGGGAUGAAUGUGACAGAGCGAGAGAGGAAGAGAGAUUUCAAGCUUGGGAAUAAUUUCAGGCUCCCCAUUCAGGAGCGAACACAGCAGCCGACACUGCCACAGUGCAUUAGGGUGAUGGAGCAAGAGGGAGGGAGGGAGGGAGCGGGAACAGCCAUGUGCGUGGACCCAUCUGUUUGAUCGGACAUGAGAGAGGGAGGGAGGUUGCGUGAUAAUGGGGAGAUAACAAGACACAGAGGUAACAGGGGGAGGCCACAGGAGGAGAGGGUUCAUGUUACAUGAACGUAAACCAAUUGACUGGCUCCUCCUACGCCUUCACGAUGCCUCAUUAUCUCUGUGCUCCACUUUUCCUGCAACCCACCGAAGAGCAGGGGCCUCAAUCCCUCCAUCCCGACUCCAAUUCUAUUGACAACGGUUCCUACUCGCUGCCAAAAUAAAGGCUUUGCUUUCAUCCAGCAUGUAGAUUUACUCACUUAUACGGUAUAACUUUUAUAAGUAUUGGUUUUUAAUCUGUCUGCUGCUUUUACCUUUCCUUUAUGAUCAGAAGAUUGGUUUUCCUUUUAUUCAUUUGGCUGCCAUUUUGGUGAUGUCAGCAGACAGUUAACCCCUUGAGUGGGUAACUCUAACCCUAACUCCACCCUAACCCUAAUUUGGAGAAUGGGAAAACAAAUUUUCUGGGAAAAGCACACACACACACACACACACACACACGUCAGGUAUUGCUAUCCUAGUGGGGACAUCUCAUUGACAUAAUGCUUUCCCUAGCCGCUUACCCUAACCCUAAACCUAACCAUAACCCAAUUGUAACCCUGACACUAAAACCACAUUUUGAGUGUUAAAAAUGCCUCCAAACUCGUGGGGACCAAUAGGGCUGGAGGUCCCCACAAGGAUAGUAAAUUUCAGAUUUGGUCCCCACCAAGAAAAGAAAAAGCGGUACACGCACACACACACACACACACACACACACACACACACACACACACACACACACACACACACACAGCGCCAGGACAUUGUUAGCUUACUUUAAACUGUAAGCUAGCUGUAGGGAACAGCUAGCUUACAGCUUUGGUAUGGUAAAAGUAAAUUUUUUCUGAUUUUAUUUAUAUAUUUAUUUAUGUACUGUUAUAUUAUUGUUAUUGUGAAUUUUUUUUCUUCAAAUAGGUGAAAACCUGACAUUGGGAUAUUUGGUCACAUGUGGAGUAUUCAUGCUAAAUUAAGCUAACCAGCUCCAGAGUAACUAAAAUAAUGUACCGAAAAUAUGAUGAAAAGAGGUCAGUUUCAUUUUCAGCCUUCAACAUGCAACAGAGUGGAAUACAGUCUAUUCUGUAAGUCUGAAAAGUGUGUCAGAUCCAUUUUAAUACACCAGCUGAGCUACACAGAGCAUACUGCUUUAUCGUUUCAUAUUGUGCCCUGGCGCCUUCAGAGUGAUGUAACGUACAGCUGGCUGCUGCAGAUUAUCACUCAGCACUUUACUUUGCCAGGAGAGAUGGAGAGAACGGUGUGUGUCUGCUGCUUGGCGAGGGUGUGCAAGGAAAUGGGAGUGGGGCAUUGAGUGGUUAUGUUGCACGCACUGCAAUAAUGACCCAACAUCAGAGCUGUGCAGAAUCUAACCCUGAGGCUGUGUUGCCAGAUAAUCCUGCCACAGUGCCAUCAACAUGCAUGUACAUGUCUCUGAAUCAAACCCACAAGAAGAAGAAGAACAGGAACAUUAUUGUACUUGUCAAAAUAAAAUGAUGGUUUUGUUUCAUCUCCUUUAUGUUUCAAAAGAAAUAAUUAACCGUUAUUAUGUGGCUGUGCUGCAGAUGAGUUCUCAUUUGAUUUAGCAUUGUUAAAUAAAUAAAGUCCUAUUAUCUGCAAGUGAACAAAUAUCAAGAAAAUAUAGGGAUUACAUAAAGCAUAAGAGCAGGGUGCUCACAUGCAUGGGCAGACGAGGGUAACGAGCUGAUGACAUCAUCGCAACUAGAGCCAUCACGCAAUCUUCUGAGAGAGAGAGAGAGAGAGAGAGAGAGCGUGAUUCUGAAUGAGUGUGGUACAAACAACCAGGUACAAAACCAAUUGGUUGUUUCAAUGAAUACAUGACCACAGACUGAAUGAAAGCAGCUGUACACCACUGAGCACUAGUAUCCUGAUCCAAGCAUGUCCAGGUCCGAUUGCCACUCUGCACGGGGUGGAGGAGGGACGUUGUCUCCUUGUCUUGGACACAAUCAGGAAGUGAAAUCUGAAUUAUUUAGGCUGGGCUUGCUAUAGUCAGUCCACUGGGACCAACAUGUAUAAUAGAUCAGCGAGCAGGUGCAGAAGGGUAAAAUGAUGAUGCAGACGCCAGGAUUUAGUCAGGAGAUCAUGUGAUCAGAGGUGAGCAUGCUGUGUCACUGUCCUGUGAGGUAGCGAUGAGAAUCAUAAAACACAGAGUUUAUUAGGACGGUGAUUCUCCAACAUUUCUGCUUGAGACUUUUUAAAACAACACUAUGUCAACAAGUUAAGACCCGAAGAAUGAAAGUAUGGAUGUGCCACUUUGUCCCUUUCAUGUAUUAGCUUAUCUAAGCAUCUGAGUCUUUCAAAAAUCUGCUUUUGUAAAAUGCACUUUAAGUUCAAUAUUGGGUGUGCUGCAAGUAAUGUGAAGUGAUAAAAUGUAAAUAUGACUUUAUGUUCACUGCCCUUUUGUGUGAAAAACAAACCAAAACAAUGAAUAAACCGAUUACACAGGCGUCAGCGCUGUUGUCCGUUCAGCAUGGUGAGCUGGAGGAGAAGAGGCUGUAGUAGUGCUACACUCAGAUUACUGACGUCUGCCGAGUCACCAAAUUCCAGCCGGAAAUUAAAUGCAUGUGUGUCCCUACAGCUGCAGGCGAUCGGGCCCAAAGAGGCCGACUGUGGAAGUGAGUGUGAGAGUGUUUAUUGAAGGCAGAGGAAGAAUAAGGCCAGCGUGUCCAUGGCUCCUAUGGCCAACAUUCAGCAUGUUCACUGUAGGAGGAGCCAUGGCGUGCAAACAGGUGUCUAAACCAGCCUUUACCUCAUUUUUGAGGAGACUUUAAGACUGUGGCUACUCUUCACUGGGCUAUUUAUGACCAUUUGGUACUUUAACUUUGCAAUUUCAUUAAAGUAAUACUAUGUUUUGUUGCAUUUAUGCAAUUAUUGAAGUUUAAGAAGAGCUUGCUCUUUAAAAAAAAUACAUUGUUAUUAUACCAACAAAACAGAACAACCUGAAGUAGAGGAAGUAAAUAUGUGUUGGUAUGUCUAUGCUUAUGUUAAAAGCUAAAGUGAUACUUUCAGUCCUACCUGUAUUUUUGCAAAUGAAUCAUAAUAAAUAAAACACGUAGCAGCCCAGGUACAUACAGGUAUAGGUUACAUGUUUUUCCAACUACACAAUUUAAUGGAAGAAUUUUCAGCAGCAAUAAAUAGAAGUCACAUUGAUAAACAUGGCACAUUGCCUUCUUUUAUAAAUGCAUUUGUUUAUAUAAAUGAAUUUAAAUAAAUGAAGGGAGCCACUGGAGGUUGGUUUGAGACCUCUGGUUGAAACAGAUAACAGAACAUAUGAUUCAUUUAUCCAUAAGAGCAAUUUUUGAAAAAUGUAUGAAAUAAAAAUAUAUUAAUAAUUUAUAAUGUUUGUAACACUUGAAUAAUGCUAGUUAGUCAUAUCUUGAAUAAUAAGUUCAGUUCAUCAUAAAUGUCAAGGAAAAUAUAGUUGAUAUACUGUUCAUGCAUUACAUUUUAGUAUUUAGCCUGCUCACUUCACCUCUGUGUGACUUUGCCACUGUGACCUUGACAGGGUCAUGGCCAUAUUAAAAGGCUAAAAGCCAUAGAAAUGAAUUCUCUCACAUGAAAAACUUGAAUGUGUGAACAGAAUUUGCAAAAUCAGUUUAGUCCAAAUCAGAACAAGUUCAACGAGAUUCCUGUCAUAAGAACCUGAGACCCAAAGACAUCAUGGCUGCCCUAUAUGUUACCAGCUGGGUGUGAAAGGGAAGCAUUUGCUUAUUUGGCUGCCCUGCUUAAAAAGGAGCAGGUGUCAGGUGGAGCAGUAAUGUGACCUAUGACUAGUAACAUGCAAUGAUACCCAGCAUAUACAGUCACACUCGUAACAUUUCUAUCCAUGACUUUGACAAGCCGCUGUCUAUAAAUACGCAGGUAUUUCUGAUAUAUUGCUUACAUAGGGCAGAGCCCUGUUGGCUCCAUCAUAUAAGUGAGCAUGUAUACUGAUGCAACAGUCCUAUAGAGAGUUGACUUGUAUAAAUCGUACCUUAAACCUAAGAAGUUAAUUUGAAUGUCAGUAUCAGCAAAAUAAAUCUACCUUUAGUUACAUGUAACGUCUUAAUUUUAGGAGCAAAGCUGAAUGAGUGGGGAUUCCCAACAACUAAGAGGUUAGACUUUCAAUUAAAUAUAAAAAAGUCUGUUUACAGAUCUUAGGGAAUUAGAACGAUGGGACCAUGCCGAGAAUGCUAGCAUUAGCUGCUACCAGCAUGACACACCCCUGUAGUUUUAAUUUAACAUUUAGCUGCUAAUUGCUAAGCAGGUAAGUGCUGUGUGUUUACCAGCUAGUACCUAAUUGUCCCAUUCGUGAUGAAUGGAUCAUUUACAAGGACCAUGUGGCCAAAAACAGCACUGUAAGAAGGCAAACAACAAACCAGGUCUGUGAAGCUAGCUUAAACUAAUAGCUAAAAUUCCUGAGAAAACUCUGUAAAGCUGCUGAUUCUGAUGACAUUUCUGAGUAAGUUCAACACACACACACUGAUUUCACAGUGGUUGCUGUUCUGCACUCACUGUUGAUUAAUUUGUUUGCAUAAUUAUUUUUCUGUUAAAUGUAUCCCUAGUUUAAAAAGUGAUGCCACAGAGAUUACAGGUUAUGGGACAAACAUCAGUGCAGGACAACUGUCUCCCUCAGAUUAGAGGACAAAUAGUGCUGGUGCUGCCUGAUUUUUAACCUCUCAAAAUUAGUUUCAGGUCAGCUUCAUGCAAUGACCCGCAUACAGUAUAAUCUUGUAAAACCACGAUAUGCCGCGUGAGCAACAGAACGUCUUAUCACCUUGAAACAUUUUGCGUUGUACUUUCAAAUACUCUUGAGAGUGCCAGCUUUGGCCAGAGUGCCCAGUGUAUGCUUUAACAUAAGAGGAACUGAAGUUAUCAAUCAGUUAUCAGUUGUAUAUUAUCAUUUGAAUAUAAGUUAAACCUCAACAUUCACCUAGAAAUAUCAGAGGCAUCUUAAAGGUCAUCAACACACUGGAGCAUGAUUAGCCAAUGAGCCAUGCCAUGCCUUCCUUCCCCACUCAACCUGCUCGCUUAUCUAAUAGCUUCACACAUUCAUAUCCACCUUAUCAAGACUAAACAGGCUGGCUGAAGAAAACUGGGCAGCUUUUGCUAUCAAUAAAAUGUGUUUACUUUGUCAGCGCAUAAUUAUUAACGCCAGAAAAGGUCAAAUUCCAACUACAACUAAAGAAAUCACUAGGAAAACUGUUCCCUGCAGUUCAUUGAACUAGACUGUAAAGAACUCAGACCUCUAAAUGUCUGUAGUAGUGUUGUCUCAUUGCUAUCCUCCAUUCUCACAAAGCAGCAUCUGUUGUGUCCGUUGACAUAGCAAGAGGCUAAAGGAGACACUGGAUAUGAACAGAACGAGCUAACGCAAGGAAUUCUGGGCAAAGGGAGGCAAGUGACGUAAGCAGAUUCCCAGCCUCCAUCCAUCCGUAUGGGCAAGCAUCGAGCAUCACCACCGCUGUCACGCAUCAUUAAUCCCUUAAUCGCUCUGCCCUACAUGGGGUACCCUAAGUUUUCAUAACCCUCAAACUUGCGCUCAGCUAGGCUGUCAAAUUCAUUUACAUCUCAACACACAAGAUGUGGAGACUUUUAGCGCAAACGCCAAUGACCGCUGAAGCGACUCCAUUUUGGGAUGGCGCAUUUUAGGAUGCCGCAGUCCACGAACAGCCGCUGCCACACAUGCAAGUCUCCCCCUUAAUUUGGGUGCCAUGGUGUUUUUCUUUCCAGCUUGAUAGCUCAUUAAGUAACGGCCAAGAACAUCACGAAUGGUCCGGAUAAUUCGGUUUUGAAUUCUCAGCGUGUAAACGUUUAAAGGCAACUCUGAGAGUCAGAGGUGAACUUGUGUAGACAUCAAAGGUGUACCCAAGAACUGCAAGAGGUUCCUAUUAUGUUUUCGGCAUCCGGGAUAAGAACCUUUCUUCAACUCUAAAGGAUAUGCAAAUAUGCAAAUGAAAAACAUAUAAACUGUUUUUCUCUUAUUCACUCCAACAUGCACGGAGUCACCUACCACUUGUCCAGGUCAGCCUUGAUGUUUGCACAAGCAGCAGGGACGGGGGCCUCAGCAGGGGCGGCGGCGGUUUCAGAGUCCGACAUGUCUGUGGUGGUGCUGCUACGUGGUGUUGAGGGUGCGUGUCCUGUCCAGUUCUUGUCCUCUGAACGCCUAUGGAUCCCAGCGCCACCAACGGAGACAGACAGAGAGAGAAAGUAGAGACGUGAGCGAGCUGGUGAAAGGGGAGGGGAGCACAGCGGGAGGUGGGAGGAGAUAAAACAUGUGAGAGGGGAAGCACACGUGUGUACAGUCAAGAAUUGAGGGAGGGGGCGGAAGAGG